rnacentral:snRNA from 1 species
GUGCUUGCUUCAGCAGCACAUGUACUAAAAUUGGAAUGAUACGAAGAAGAUUAGCAUGGCCCCGAUGCAAGGAUGACACACAAAUUCACAAAGCAUUCUAUAUUUUU